UGCUGUGGUGACGUCAACGGCGUUAGCGGUAAUUUUUUCCCUAAACAGGUAGAGUAUCAAAGCGAUACUACAUAAAGAAGCUUGUUUUCGCUUGCAUUCACACUGACGCACUGAGCGCCAAACUUGUUCAUCUUGCUGUUUAUUUGGGAUCAGACAAGGUCGAAAGCAUUAUAAAGGUAAAAUUAACUGCUGUGCUGUUGCUGUUGAAUUAAAGUAAAACAAACCAUGAAAGCAGGUCUCGUUUUUGUUCUGGCGCUAACCACAGUUUAUUUGCUGUCAAAUUCGCUUGUUGCGUCAAAACCAGAAUUUUGCUAUCUUAAACCAGACCCUGGUCCCUGCAAUGGCUACUUCCCACGAUACUACUCCGAUCCCGAUUCAAGCAGUUGAAGGAUAUUUAUAUAUGGCGGCUGUCUCGGAAACGCCAACAACUUUGAAACUCUUUCUGAAUGUUUAUUUACGUGUGGCUAGUUAAAGGAUGAGAACGAAAGAAAGCGAGAAUGAAGAAAUUUUGAUACGGGGGAAUAACAGGGGGAAUGUAGUUUGCUUUAUUGGUCUACUCUAGUUUGCUAUCGGUGUAUUAGUACUACUCUUCUUUCUUAUUAUAAUAUAAUAAAAAAUGCU